rnacentral:rRNA from 1 species
CCUACGGGAGGCAGCAGUGAGGAAUAUUGGUCAAUGGCCGGAAGGCUGAACCAGCCAAGCCGCGUGAAGGACGAAGGUGCCAAGCAUUGUAAACUUCUUUUGUCAAGGGACAAAAUCAGGCUCGAGAGCCUGACCGAGGGUACUUGAAGAAAAAGCAUCGGCUAACUCCGUGCCAGCAGCCGCGGUAAUACGGAGGAUGCGAGCGUUAUCCGGAUUUAUUGGGUUUAAAGGGUGCGUAGGCGGGCUUUUAAGUCAGCGGUAAAAAUUCGGGGCUCAACCCCGUCGGGCCGUUGAAACUGGGGGCCUUGAGAGGGCGAGAGGAAGGCGGAAUGCGUGGUGUAGCGGUGAAAUGCAUAGAUAUCACGCAGAACCCCGAUUGCGAAGGCAGCCUGCCAAGCCAUGACUGACGCUGAUGCACGAAAGCGUGGGGAUCAAACAGGAUUAGAUACCCCGGUAGUC